ACAGCGUUUUGAAAUGCAGAAGCCAUCUAAUGAACAUUAUAUGUAGACGUACCCCUUCCAGCAAACUAUGACUAUAACCAAAGCCUCACCUCAGCACUAGUAUAGCUAAUCCUCAAAGAGGCAUUGCAUAUUCAUUAUUUUCCCCAUAUAUAGCUAAUGUGCUUGGUUUAUUCUGUAUUUAAAAUAAGAGGAAAUAAAAAUAGAAUUAGGGAGUAGACCCAAGGCUAUUGGAAAGGGAAAAUGAGCAUCUGUACUAAAGAUGAACAGAUAACUUUGUAUAGCUUUUAUUUCUGUUCCUGAGAUGGCUUCACGAUAGGGAUCUUCCUGGAAGAAUUUACGCCUGUAAUUCUAAAUUAUGUAAAAUUGAGCAGAGGGUAGAUAAGCUAAAUGCACCUUCCUCUUGUGCUACUCCAAACUCAGAAUUACCACUUUUGCCAUUUAUGCCGUUCCUUAAAAAUAUUAUUCUACUCUAUUUGAAACAUUCUGGUGGUGGCUUACUUACAUAUAGGGAAAAUUGUAUGGGGUUAAAGUUUGGGCUUAGGUAAGAGUGUGUGUGUUAUGUGCCAUCAAGUUGCCUCCGAGCUAUGGCAACCCUAUGAAUGAAAGACCUCCAAAAUGUCCUAUCAUUAACAGACUUGCUCAGACCUUGCAAACUGGAGGAUGUCACUUCUUUUAUUGAGUCAAGCCAUCCUGUUUUAGGUCUCCCUCUUUUCCUACUGCCUAUUUUUCCUAGCAUCAUUGAUUUUUCCAGAGAAUCUUAUAAUGUGACCAAAGUACGAUAGCUUCAGAUUUCUCAUUUUAGCUUCUAGGUAGUAUUUAGGCUUGAUUUGAUCUCCCACUUAUUUGUCUUUUUGACUGUCCAUGGAAUCUGCAGAAUUCUCCUCCACAUUUCAAAUGAAUCAAUUUUCUUCCUGUCAGCUUUCUUCACUGUCCAACUUUCACAUCCAUCCAUCGUAAUGGGAAAUACCAUUGUUUGGGUUAUCUUGGAUCCCAGAGACACAUCUUUAAGGAUCUUAUCUAGCUCCCUUACAGCUGCUCUUCCAAGUCUCAAUUUCCUUCUGAUUUCUUCGUUGCUUUUUCAAGGAUUACACCAAAGAGACAGGAUGGCCAGCACUCGAGAUGGGCAUGAACAGGAAAAAAACCCGAACACGACGUUCGUUAUUUGUUGCCAUCCACAAACAGAGAUUCACAAACAUCGACGGACAUGACAUGUUCACGAACAUGUUCAUGGUUGGAGUGGAAAAAACUGGUAUGCUGGAAGCUACUUUGAGGGGUUAUGAGCCAGAAGGAAAGCCAGAAGGAGUUCAGAGUUCAGACCAUCCAUGCCUAUGUUGCCAGGGGAACUGAUUUAAAGGCGCCAUACUGUCUGGCUUUACGAACAGCUGACAAAUGCCAUGAAGGGGGCUUGGAACGAACACGUUUGCUGGGAACAGGGCCUCGCGAACAGCGGAUUGGGCUGUUCGUGGCUUUUUUUUGUUCUAUUGCUGUUCGUACCCAUCUCUAGCCAGCAUUGAUUAAGAGUAAGUAUGUGAAGGCAGAAAAGGCAGUUGCAGGAAGCCUGCCAAAUGAAGCAUGGUGCCCAAAAAGCAGUGUAGACAUAUACUGCUGAUUGCACAAGACAGGUUUGGCAGAAACGUAGUACUGCU